UUUUCGGUGCAAGAUAUGCAAAACUUCUUUGGCCUAUACUUUUGUUACACAUAGGUGGUGGGUAUCCUCCCCAAGAUGACGUUGGACAGAAUUUUCAAAGCAUACAAUUGCCUUACAUCUGGUACUCCUGCCUCCUCAAACAACCUCUGGCUUGGAAAAGUGCGGUUUUUCUUAUGGAUUAUCUUCAGUAACCAUUUUUGGAUGGUCUCUAAAGGUUUGAUGUGGUUAUUAUACGUGCCGCCCCAUCCCACUAUCCCGUAGGUGAUCUGGGACUCAACCAAGGCUUGAUAGAAAAUUUUUAAGAAUUUUUUUGAGACCAGAUGCUUACUCAAGUACCUGAACUUGAAAAGAAGACCCCUCAGCUUGUUUACAACAUUCUUUAUAUGUUUAUUCCAUCUCAUUUGUGAAUCAAUUGUUAUUCCUAAAUACUUUAUAUGUUCUGUUUCAGCUAUACAGAUUCCAUCAUCAAAAACAAGAUCUCCCAGAUGCGGAAGACUCGAAGCAUAAGAGCUGAACACCAUAUAUUUAGUCUUGUCUAUAUUUAAAGUUAGUUUAUUAUGCUUGAACCAAUUUAUUAUUUCUGGAAAUAUCACCUGAACUUUUUCUCUCAGCUCUUCCCAUGUUUUCGCCUGGUAUUGGAUAACGGUAUCAUCAGCAAAGCAAAUCGCACCUUCAGAUUGUUUCAUUUUGAGUAAACUAUUUAUGUAAAUGAGAAAUAGAACAGGACCUAAUACGGUACCUUGUGGAACUCCGUAUGUUAUUGUCUCUUCUUGACUCCUUGAGUCUCCAAUCUCCACAACCUGCUUUCUAUUUGACAAAUAGCUCUUUAAUAAUUUAUACAUCGAACCUCUAAAUCCGUAAUUUUUUAAUUUUUUGAGCAGUCGAAUAUGGCAUACUGUAUCAAAUGCCUUACAUAAGUCGACAAAUAUACAAAGUGAAGGGAUCGUUUUAUCCAGACAUUCAUACAGCUUUCCUGUCAGUUCUCUUAUAGCAUCUUCUGUUGAUUUUCCCUCAAUAAAUCCGUAUUGUUUCUCGUCGAUAAUAUUAUAUUUUUUCAGGUAGUCCAUAAUACGUCUUUUCAUAGCCUUUUCCACUAUCUUGGCCAGGUUCGAUAUCAGAGAGAUGGGUCUAUAGUUCGUAACUUCGGAUCGGUCUCCGCUUUUGUAUACUGGCUUGAUAAUACCUGUUUUCAAAGUAUCAGGAAAACAUCCCCUCUCAAAAUAGUUAUUUAUAAGAUGAACUAAAGGUGCCGAUAUUUCCCACUUAAUUUCUUUUAGAGUUUCAGAUCUAAUGGAAUCAUGACCAGCAGCCUUUCCAGACUUGAGCUGACCUAUGAUAUCCUGUAUCUCUUUAGUGUCUACGGGAAGCAGGUAGAAGGAAUUACACUGGGAAGUAUCUCUUUCUUUAUACUCCUUAGGUGGAUCGAUUCUAUCAGCAUAAAGUUUUCCUAUACCACUGAAAUGUUUAUUGAAUAUAUUAGCUAUUUCUGUCUUAUCCUGGUAAUAAACUGCUUCAUACUUUA